rnacentral:rRNA from 1 species
GAUGAACGCUGGCGGCGUGCCUAAUACAUGCAAGUCGAGCGAACAGAUAAGGAGCUUGCUCCUUUGACGUUAGCGGCGGACGGGUGAGUAACACGUGGAUAACCUACCUAUAAGACUGGAUAACUUCGGGAAACCGGAGCUAAUACCGGAUAACAUAUUGAACCGCAUGGUUCAAUAGUGAAAGGCGGCUUUGCUGUCACUUAUAGAUGGAUCCGCGCCGUAUUAGCUAGUUGGUAAGGUAACGGCUUACCAAGGCAACGAUACGUAGCCGACCUGAGAGGGUGAUCGGCCACACUGGAACUGAGACACGGUCCAGACUCCUACGGGAGGCAGCAGUAGGGAAUCUUCCGCAAUGGGCGAAAGCCUGACGGAGCAACGCCGCGUGAGUGAUGAAGGUCUUCGGAUCGUAAAACUCUGUUAUCAGGGAAGAACAAAUGUGUAAGUAACUGUGCACAUCUUGACGGUACCUGAUCAGAAAGCCACGGCUAACUACGUG